GGGCCCGCACAAGCGGUGGAGCAUGUGGUUUAAUUCGAUGAUACGCGAGGAACCUUACCAGGGCUUAAAUGUAAGUUGCAUAGACCAGAGAUGGUCUUUUCUUCGGACUACUUACAAGGUGCUGCAUGGUUGUCGUCAGCUCGUGCCGUGAGGUGUCAGGUUAAGUCCUAUAACGAGCGCAACCCCUGUCGUUAGUUGCCAUCAAGUAAAGUUGGGUACUCUAGCGAGACUGCCGGUGCAAACCGUGAGGAAGGUGGGGAUGACGUCAAAUCAUCACGGCCCUUACGUCCUGGGCUACACACGUGCUACAAUGGCCGGUACAGAGAGCAGCCACUACGCGAGUAGGAGCGAAUCUAUAAAACCGGUCUCAGUUCGGAUCGCAGUCUGCAACUCGACUGCGUGAAGCUGGAAUC
rnacentral:rRNA from 1 species